UCACAGCAUUAAUGUACAGAUCAUAUGUGAUGCUGCCAACAUUAUCACAAAUGUGGAAGCCAAGUGGCCAGGCUCUGUUCAUGACUCACGAAUUUUUUGUGAAUGUACACUGAGCACAAAAUUUGGACAUGGAGAGUUCACUGGCUACUUGCUUGGUGAUAGGGGGUAUCCAUGUUUACCCUAUUUGCUUACCCCUUACCCUGACCCUGAACCGGGCCCACAGCAGCGAUAUAAUCUGGCUCAUUGCAGGACAAGAGCCAGAGUUGAAAUGACU